GUGAGGGGAUGACUGGUGACAGAGUGAGGGAGGGAGUGGGUGACUAGUGACAGAGGGAGGGGGUGACACAGUGACAGAGGGAGGGAGGUCACUAGUCACCCCAUCCCUCCCUCUGUCACUAGUAACCACCUCCCUCACUCUGUCCCUAGUCACCCCCUCCGUCACUAGUCACCCCCUCCCUAACUGUCACUUGUCACCCCUUUCCUCCCUAACUCUGUCACUAGUCACCCCCUCCCUCUGUCACUAGUCACUCCCUCACUCUGUCACCAGUCAUCCCCUCAC